GGCGACUUCCGUCUGCUGGUUGGAGGGGGAAAGUCGUGGGGAACCAACAGGUGCUGGCAGUACGGUGUUUGCCAGAGAGGAGGGAGUGCAGCGCAGAGCGAGACUCGUCGCUGGUUUAACCAAUACUAGUCGCAAUGAGUUAAGAAGUCAGGAGUUAAAUGCCGGACAGCUGCUAAGAAGCCAGCUCUGACGGAUGCGCAGAAGGAAGCUCGCCUUGCAUGGGCUUACCAGCACAGGGACUGAACUGUGGAGCAGUGGAAUAGCACGGUCUUCACCGAUGAGACGUCGCACCGCUCCUCAGACUGCCGCGCCAAGAACGUGUGGCGAGAAGAUGGCACCAGGUAUGAGCCAGAAAAUGUGGUGGAGACGCGUGCCAGUGGAAGGGUCAGCUUAAUGCAGUGGUUCGCCUUUUCUGGCGACCUUGGAUCCAUUGCUGUCCAAAACUGUCCCGGCCGGAUGGAUGCCAUUUUCUACAGGUAGGUUCACACUAAAUCUGAAGAGGCUUUCAUUGUCCAUAGAAGGACGCGUUUUUGCGCGCAUCUCAGCCGGAUGCUAAGUGAGGAAUUUGCAUUAUAAUUAUUGACAAAAAAAAACAAUUGUCCAUAAAAGGAUGCUAGUUCGUCACUGGUUGGAUCCAAAUCUCGAUCCGCGGUUGAGAUGUGCACAAAACUGCGUCUUUCAAUGGGCAAUAAAAGUCUUUUCAGCUUAA